CGGACCCCUCGCUAAAGGCUCGCUUGCUUAUGCUUUACCUUUUAACACUGAGCUAUCUUCUUUCUGUCGUUAGUUUCGUAGUUACUACAAAUGGAUUUGGAAAGUGAGGAGAUGCUUAAGGAAGUAUUAAAGGAGCAAAAAAGGCUUCUUGUUCUACAUUUUUGGACAACAUGGUCUGAGCCUAGCCGACACAUUAAUGAAGCUCUUACUGAUUUGUCUCAAACCUAUUCACAACAUCGUUUCAUAAAGAUAGAGGCAGAAGAGCAAAGUCAGGUAUCCUUAAAGUACUCUGUGACAGCUGUUCCAACUGUUGUAUUUGUCAAGAUACCUCCCUGGAACACUUAGAAAUUUAGCACUCAAUCUGCACUCAGACAGUAUACCUCCCCUAUCAUCAUAAAUAUUAGAGUAAAUGAAAGGGAUUACAAACUUCCUUUCGCGUCUGGAAAUGCUAGUUACCAAUACCGUAUUAAUUAGUCGUAUGUAAAAUUGAAAAUGGCUAGACAAGUAAAGUAGGUAACCCUUCAUUAAUGCAGACAGACACUCUUUCUACUUGCCCAAGUAGUCUGCUGUGGCAAUCAUGAUGUUUGCAGUUGGAAUUCAUUGUUGAUCAACACUGGCAAUCACUAAUCACCAUAAUGCAUGUUUAAGACCAAAGACCAUUUAGUUUUUAAGUUAAAGAAUGACGGAAUCAUAUUUUCAAAUGUAACAAAGUGGAUGACCUCCACCUAUUGAUGCUCUAUUGAAUGAUUUAAUUAGUUGUUAUCAUUUGUUAAACACUUUUAAGAAAAAGAUACAAAACAAAAUGUAGUUGCAAGUUGCAACCACUCCCAAUCGAGAGCAAAAAAAUUAGUGCAAGUAAUGAUGAAUGCACCUGAAAAGUUGUCUGGGGAUAAAGACAUGUUUCCUCUGCUUUAUUUCUCAUAAAUCUUGAUGAAUAAUGACACUACUAACUAUUGACAGCCUUUGACAGGUCACAAACAAGACGCUUGCUAAAAGUGAGCAGCCAUUGCUAAGAAUAGGGGUAACCUGCAUCUGUUACCUAGCGAUACACAAAGCCAAUCUAAAAACACUGAAGUUUCCAAUCCCUUUCAUUUAGUCUAUUAUCUAUGCUAUCAUCCCCUCCCUAUUGGAACACAACUACUAAAGAGUGAGGCACUGGGCCCUUCACACCAAGUGGUAUCAUUAAGCUAAAGACUACAUUUUGCGCAAAUCAUUCACAGAAUACUUGGAACCUCUAUAGUCUUUCCAUAGACUUAGAAAUGUGUAUUUUACAUGUCCUGCUAGUUUCAGACCUAUUGAAGCAAAUAUAGCUAUCAAAAAAGUGCCAUUAAGUUAGUCAUAAUCAGGCAGCCUAAAAUCCUUGAUUUACAAGAGCUGUUCUUCUACAUGUUUUUUGCCACAUACAGAUAGAACCAACUCUCCUCUUUGCUAUUACUAAGAAUGAGUUUCAUUUGUGCUUCUGUUUAAAAAAUACACCUCUACUUGCACGCCACCGUUCUGACUUUUUAGCCACAAAGCAAGUUUGAUUUUUGUGAAAAUCAUUCACAGGGGUGCUGGGCCUUUGCCAAAGGGUCUGGUACUGUACUUACCUUUGCUUAAUACAUUGUGAUUGUCCUUUGGUGCUUAGUCUUAUUUUUAUUCAGGCACUGAUUAUUAGGUGAUAUUUGGCUGUCAAAAGUUACUGGGCCCACGACUUCAAGUAUUGCGCAGUGUAUUAAGGGAGCGGGUGAACUUUUUAAAUUAUAUUCAUAGUUUUAUUAAUUAAUAACUUAUGCCACCCACGCAAUGAAAAAUUAAAAUCAAUUAUUGCGUACAAGUAAACAGUUGAGAAAACGGUCUCUUGCGAUCAUGGACUCUUCUAAAGACUUCGGUGAUGACUCAACCGGCUUUUUUCAAAGCCAUCAUUUCAGUGUUGAUCCAACCGGCUUUUUUCAAAGCCA
rnacentral:misc_RNA from 1 species